CUAGCUACAGGCUUAACACAUGCAAGUCGAGGGGCAGCAUGGUCUUAGCUUGCUAAGGCCGAUGGCGACCGGCGCACGGGUGAGUAACACGUAUCCAACCUGCCGUCUACUCUUGGACAGCCUUCUGAAAGGAAGAUUAAUACAAGAUGGCAUCAUGAGUCCACAUGUUCACAUGAUUAAAGGUAUUCCGGUAGACGAUGGGGAUGCGUUCCAUUAGAUAGUAGGCGGGGUAACGACCCACCUAGUCUUCGAUGGAUAGGGGUUCUGAGAGGAAGGUCCCCCACAUUGGAACUGAGACACGGUCCAAACUCCUACGGGAGGCAGCAGUGAGGAAUAUUGGUCAAUGGGCGAGAGCCUGAACCAGCCAAGUAGCGUGAAGGAUGACUGCCCUAUGGGUUGUAAACUUCUUUUAUAAAGGAAUAAAGUCGGGUAUGCAUACCCGUUUGCAUGUACUUUAUGAAUAAGGAUCGGCUAACUCCGUGCCAGCAGCCGCGGUAAUACGGAGGAUCCGAGCGUUAUCCGGAUUUAUUGGGUUUAAAGGGAGCGUAGAUGGAUGUUUAAGUCAGUUGUGAAAGUUUGCGGCUCAACCGUAAAAUUGCAGUUGAUACUGGAUAUCUUGAGUGCAGUUGAGGCAGGCGGAAUUCGUGGUGUAGCGGUGAAAUGCUUAGAUAUCACGAAGAACUCCGAUUGCGAAGGCAGCCUGCUAAGCUGCAACUGACAUUGAGGCUCGAAAGUGUGGGUAUCAAACAGGAUUAGAUACCCUGGUAGUCCACACGGUAAACGAUGAAUACUCGCUGUUUGCGAUAUACAGCAAGCGGCCAAGCGAAAGCGUUAAGUAUUCCACCUGGGGAGUACGCCGGCAACGGUGAAACUCAAAGGAAUUGACGGGGGCCCGCACAAGCGGAGGAACAUGUGGUUUAAUUCGAUGAUACGCGAGGAACCUUACCCGGGCUUAAAUUGCAGAUGAAUUACGGUGAAAGCCGUAAGCCGCAAGGCAUCUGUGAAGGUGCUGCAUGGUUGUCGUCAGCUCGUGCCGUGAGGUGUCGGCUUAAGUGCCAUAACGAGCGCAACCCUUGUUGUCAGUUACUAACAGGUUCUGCUGAGGACUCUGACAAGACUGCCAUCGUAAGAUGUGAGGAAGGUGGGGAUGACGUCAAAUCAGCACGGCCCUUACGCCCGGGGCUACACACGUGUUACAAUGGGGGGUACAGAGGGCCGCUACCACGCGAGUGGAUGCCAAUCCCAAAAACCUCUCUCAGUUCGGACUGGAGUCUGCAACCCGACUCCACGAAGCUGGAUUCGCUAGUAAUCGCGCAUCAGCCACGGCGCGGUGAAUACGUUCCCGGGCCUUGUACACACCGCCCGUCAAGCCAUGGGAGCCGGGGGUACCUGAAGUGCGUAACCGCGAGGAGCGCCCUAGGGUAAAACUG
rnacentral:rRNA from 1 species